rnacentral:lncRNA from 1 species
CUUGGGUGCUGGGGACCCUGGGCCGCGCUCCCCCCUGGAGGGACACAGGCAGGGCGGCGGCCGCAGGGCUGGGGGCAUGGGCAGGGGUGGGGCUGCAUCAGGGGAGUUUUGAGUCUGCAGCUUCCUCUAGGACCCGUGGCUGAGGGGGACCAGGCGACAGCAGGGCUUUAUUGGCCUCUUCCUGUGUACGCGGACCCCUGGCCUCGGGCGCGGCUCCAGGGCAGCACUGGACGGGCUGCCCCACGGCACCCGCCAGGAGGGGGCUGGCGCCCAGAUUGGCCCCCCAAGCCCGCCUGGGCUGCUCACCUGCUCGAAGGCCCGGGCCUCUCCUUUCCAACCCUCGUCACUCUUGCACUAACACACUCGCAAGGCACUUACUGACCCCCGCUGCAUCCUGGGGCCCCGCUAGGCCCUGGGGAUCCUCUGCCCCGGUUCUCGGGGCGGGCGGGCCGGGCCGGCGGGGGGCCGACAGCCAACACGGCAGGAAAGCGUGGACGCCGCUCAUAAUGGGGGCUCAGGCCUCAGUCUCCCCGGCGGAGCGCCGCGGAGCCGCCCUGCUCCCCGGCCCGGGAUCGAGGCCUGCUGGCCCCGUGCGUGGGCUUCGCCACGUUCUACCUUCCCAGCAGUUUCAUGGGGGCACGUCCACACACGUGCAAGCCGCCCGUUUAGGGUGUGCAGUGCGGUGGUUUUAGGGCUGUCAGAGGCCUGCAGGCACCACAGUGAGUUUUCACCGCGGGGGCACCUCAGGGACACACACAGUCUGGGGGUUCCUCGGGGAGCUCUGCAGUCGCGCCGCUGAGCAGCCCACGUCUCGGGGACCAGGUGCGCCCAGGGGCCCCGCACCAGGGCCGCGGAUAAACACGCACAUGCGCUGUCCACGCAGCGGGUGGCGGAUGCCCCGACGUCCAUGCGCUCGUGAACAGGUGCACGCGGCGUGUCCGUCCACCCACCCAUCAGACACCCGGCCACCCAAGGGAGCGAGGCGCCCCCACGCCGCCCCGGGGACGACCCCAAGCCCACGACGCUGAGGCCCCAGGGGUGGGACACGUGUGUGACUCGUCCAGGACGAGCUUGUCCCCGCAGGGGGAGGGGGCUGGGGGGGCCGGGGCUGGGGGGCGACAGCUGAAGGGCUCAGUUCCCUGAGAGCGUGAUGGAACGUUCUGUGGUGAUGGUUGCACAACUCCAUGAAAAUAUUAAAAAACCAUUGCCUUGCAUAGUUUAAAACAGCUAAUGUUUUAAAUUUUUUAUUUUAUUAUUUGUUUGGGAGAUGGAGACAGAGAGCUCGAGCGGGGGGAGGAGCAGAGCCCCCGAGGGGCGGGGGCCCGACGCGGGCCUGAUCCCAGGACCCCAGGGGCAGGACCCGACCUGGCCGACCGAGCCCCCCAGACACCCCAGUAGGGUCCGGGUUUGAGCAGCUGCACUCAGGCCGCCUUUCCCGCUCGAAGCUGUCCCUGGCUCCCUCGUGUCGCGGACUCGCGUCCGGGCUCCCCAGCUGCGGCGGGCCACCCUUUCCGCCAGGCCCCCGCGGGAUCAGGACGGUCCCGGACCGGUUCCCACCCCCAGGAAGCAGCCAAGAGCGAUUGCCCCACUUUCUCCCCUCCUCCUGCCUGGAGGGCCGUUUGUGGCCGCCUUGCGACACCAGGAUUCCCAACUGCUGCCCCGGCUCCGGGGGACACCGAGGCCCGGCGAGAGGUGCGGCAGCCAGGUCGCGGCACCUGGGCACCUGUUACGCCCACUUGUGGGUGAGGAAACUGAGGCGAGCCCCCUGGAACUCGCUCGCCACCAUACACACGAUCAUUGUGGAAAACCCACGGAGCUGUGUCUUUUGAAGCAAAAAGGGUCCAAGCCAGGACUCGGACGGGGCCUAAAUGGCUGAGCAGAAAUAAAGACCUGGCGACGACAGUAGGCGCUCAAUUAAUGCAGCCCUCACCCCGCCCCCUCUAAUGAGAGGUGCAACCUCGGGACUGAUAGUUGGGGUCCGUCCCGGUCCCAGGGGCUCCCCAGCCAGUCUUCAGGGUCCAGUAUACAGUAGUGCUUAAGAGAUGGUGAAUUUAAAAAAAAAAAAAAAAGAUGAUGAAUAAAUGAACCAAAUAAAAUCCUGUCCUUUAGGGUCCCUAUAACGUGGAACGGGGCUUUCAGCUUCCUGGG